rnacentral:rRNA from 1 species
GACGAACGCUGGCGGCGUGCUUAACACAUGCAAGUCGAACGGAAAGGCCCUGCUUUUGUGGGGUGCUCGAGUGGCGAACGGGUGAGUAACACGUGAGUAACCUGCCCUUGACUUUGGGAUAACUUCAGGAAACUGGGGCUAAUACCGGAUAGGAGCUCCUGCUGCAUGGUGGGGGUUGGAAAGUUUCGGCGGUUGGGGAUGGACUCGCGGCUUAUCAGCUUGUUGGUGGGGUAGUGGCUUACCAAGGCUUUGACGGGUAGCCGGCCUGAGAGGGUGACCGGCCACAUUGGGACUGGGAUACGGCCCAGAGUCCUACGGGGGGCAACAGUGGGGAAUAUUGCACAAUGGGCGGAAGCCUGAUGCAGCAACGCCGCGUGCGGGAUGACGGCCUUCGGGUUGUAAACCGCUUUCGCCUGUGACGAAGCGUGAGUGACGGUAAUGGGUAAAGAAGCACCGGCUAACUACGU